UUGACUGCUGUUUUGUUCCUUCUCUUGUUCAGUUUUGUGUUGAUUUUGUCGCUCUUUCUUCAGUCGUUAUGGUGCCUGAGCGUAAACGUUAUGUGGGCCAUGAUCAUGCCGCAAGCACGUCGCUGCCUUGAUAAAGAGCGUGAAAUCGCGCGCAUGCCGGCUUGACGCUGAUGUGCGCUUAUGUUUCGAAUACAGCGACGCCGGUGCACGCGUCGGUGCCCCUUCUAUGCAAUAGAUGCAAGUUCUAAGCGAGCCGUCGUCCCUAGCGUCAUUUAAUCCGUUUACUCAAACGGGCCACGUCGAUCCUCAUUGCAGACGAUCUGCAUUCACCUUCCACAGCGUGAUCGAAGCUUGCCCACUGCCAAAAAAUAAUUCGGUGGAAUUGCACUGGAGGAUGGAGCAAAUCAGAUGGAGAGCCACCUCGCUUCCGUGGUGACAUAGCAGGCAGGCUUUCUAGAUCCUCUGACUAAUCUGUGUACUCCAGCUGUGACUCACUGGUGGACGUUUGGGCUACAUGUUCGUACUUUGGCCCAGUAGUGACCAUCGUCACUCCAGGUACCUUGAAGACAGCCCACUGGACCACAGGCAGAAAAAGACAGUGUUGGCAAUGACUACUGCCAGAAUUCUAUUCCUUGUGCCACACAAACUGCAGAAAGGGUGUUGACCAGACUACAAGCCAAGCAAGCCAGGCUCGUGGCACCACCUACUCCAUCUGCUCCUGAACCCACGCACCACACAUACUUAGGUCAUUCCAUGGUAAUGUUUUUGAGGAUAUUGAAGAUUGGCGGGACCGUUUUGAUCAUGUUGCCAGCUUCAACAACUGGGAUGACAAAUGGAAUCUUUGGAAUGCCCGCUCGAGUACGUCAUCCAUAGUCAAGGGCAUAAUCAGUUCUUAUUACUGAAUAGAGAAUAUUACAAACAUGAAAAAAACAUUUUUUGUUUAAAUAUCCCGGUUAAAUGCCAGAAGCAGGAACUCCGUGUAAGUGGGCAAAUGUGAACAUAUCCUCAUGUUUGAUAUGGUAAAGACUGCUUUUGUUUGCAUAAACAAGAGAAAUGACAAUGCAACAUUGUGCUGAGGUUCCAUGUUUGCGCUGCUCCAUGGAUUUUCAUGUCAUCUUGCACUAUUAUAAACACGCUUAGUGGUUUCUUUUCAUUAGCUGUGAUGACUAGCCAUUUCCACGUAAAAAAUUUGAUUGUUGUCAGUUUUUACCAUAACUGUCAAGUAAAGUAUUUGCAAGGUCUAGCAUGUUCAGCUCCUCAGGUGUAGAAUGACAUGAACAGGAAUCUGGAAGGAAGGUACAGGAAUGUGUGGUGCAAAAGAUAGCCAUUUAAAGCCAUAUAUAAUUUGGGGUUUCAUUUGAAACUUGGGGACCUUUAGUGCUCGUGUGCAGUCUGGUAGUUUUAGAUAACAAUCAAGCUGGUUGUCACGUGUGAAAGAACUGUUGAACGAUUACCAAUUACAUUUUGUUUUAACAUUUGUGUAGAAUCGUGUUUUCUAAAAGGCCCCUGAUAUGUUUAUUGUCAAAGCACAUAUUUCCAAAACAGCCACAGAUUUUACCGUCACAUUUAAGGAAUCAGCCAAUUGAGCUGUCGUGAUUUUCCUGUCUCAUUGUGAUGGAAGCAUGGCUCUUGUCCUUGCGGAUUCAGUCAUGUAUUCCAGUACGUCCACUAUAUAUGACCAGCUGGACACCAUAACUUUUUUUGUUUCAUCUGAAAGUUCAGUAUUAAUUUAGUAUGCUUAUUAUAACUUUAUUGAGUGCUUCUCCUGUAGUAUACAUUUAAUUUUUGAUGGUACUGUUAAUGAACCAGUGAUAGUUAUUGCAUUCUAUUCGGCUGUUUUGCUCCCGAUUGAGUGCUACUUGUAUGCAGUCUCAAUUUUACAUUUGUCUUGGCCACCACACAGCCAUAGGCAAUGGGUAGAUCUGAACAGUUUCUGUAUAUCUAUAUCGUGACAACAGAAUGCAAAUAAAUUUGAAGUUUUUAAAAUUAGAA